CCAGGCUCUUGUUUCAUCUGUGGAUCCAUGGAGCAUUGGGCGGCCAAAUGUCCAGAUAGGAAGGGCAGCCGUAAAACUAAUGGACUCAACCGUACGAACCAGAGCAGCAACAAUUUCCGUGCCUCAUAGAUUCGGGGAGUCCAGUUUCCUUAAUCAAGAAGAAACAUUUACCUAAUCAUUCAUAUCUUUAUUCUGUCGAGCAAUCUUAUCAAGGGCUAAAUGGAAGUCCUCUCAUUACAUUUGGAAAAUUACUAUGUUACGUUGUGAAAAAUUCAAUAAAGAUUUACUUUUAUUUACUCGUUAUCCCA